GAAACCAACAGGGAUUGCCCUAGUAACGGCGAGUGAAGCGGCAACAGCUCAAAUUUGAAACCUGGCGCUUGCGUCCGGAUUGUAAUUUGUAGAGGAUGCUUCUGGGCAGCGGCCGUUCUAAGUUCCUUGGAACAGGACGUCAUAGAGGGUGAGAAUCCCGUAUGUGACCGGCGCGCACCCUCCACGUAGCUCCUUCGACGAGUCGAGUUGUUUGGGAAUGCAGCUCUAAAUGGGAGGUAAAUUUCUUCUAAAGCUAAAUAUUGGCCAGAGACCGAUAGCGCACAAGUAGAGUGAUCGAAAGAUGAAAAGCACUUUGGAAAGAGAGUUAAAAAGCACGUGAAAUUGUUGAAAGGGAAGCGCUUCCAACCAGACUCCGCGGCGGUGUUCCGCCGGUCUUCUGACCGGUCCACUCGCCGCCGUGGGGCCAACAUCGUCUGGGGCCGCCGGAUAAGACCGGAGGAAUGUAGCUCAUUGAGUGUUAUAGCCUCCGGUGAUGCGGCGCGUCCCGGGCGAGGUCCGCGCUUCGGCAAGGAUGUUGGCGUAAUGGUUGGCAGCGGCCCGUCUUGAAACACGGACCAAGGAGUCUAACAUCUAUGCGAGUGUUCGGGUGUCAAACCCCUACGCGUAAUGAAAGUGAACGGAGGUGGGAGCUUCGGCGCACCAUCGACCGAUCCUGAUGUCCUCGGAUGGAUUUGAGUAAGAGCAUAGCUGUUGGGACCCGAAAGAUGGUGAACUAUGCCUGAAUAGGGUGAAGCCAGAGGAAACUCUGGUGGAGGCUCGCAGCGGUUCUGACGUGCAAAUCGAUCGUCAAAUUUGGGUAUAGGGGCGAAAGACUAAUCGAACCA
rnacentral:rRNA from 2 species